rnacentral:lncRNA from 1 species
AAAAAAGUUUGAGUGAAUGCUCUCAAGAAUUCUUAUUGCUCAAAACUCAAGUACUUUACAAUGAGAGAAGAGACCUCUAUUUAUAGUUGAGCCUCUCCAAAUCCAACGGUACAAAAUCAAAUAUAUCAACGGCUAUGAUUAAAAGGUAUCUACAAUUAAAUCCCUAAGAAUAUAAAAUCAUAUCUUUUAAGAUUACCUAUCUUAUCUAAGAUAUGUAAUCUUAUAAAAUAAUAUAUUAUAAGAUUACAUAUCAUAUCUAAGGUCUCUAAGAUUAUAAAAUCAUAUCUUCCAAAAUCAUGUUUCCAUAUUUGUCUAACUUGUAGAUAGUCCUUCAAUCUCUUCAAGCGACGGGUCAAUCCGAUUGGGCCAAAUAACCUCCUUCCUGAUGGAUCGCAUAGAUGUGUCAUGGUUGUGGGCUCCCUUGCGCAACCCAUGACAUUGGGAGCAAAAGGCAAUGAUUAAUUGGCUGAAAUACGAAGAUAAGAUUACAAAUUUCAUUCAUAAAUUGAAAACUGAAGAUGGACGAGAAAUGGAAGAAUUGAAGGAAAUGGAGGUGGUUGCGCCGGUUGUAGUUUCAAAAAUUGUUUUCGAAAGGAACGAGAGGGAACUUUGACCAUUUGUUAUCAGGGAUCAAUAGAUGCAUAACUGAUGAAGAUAAUCAUAGACUCACGGCGCCCUAUACUAGGGAGGAAAUUUGAGAAGCACUUUUUGAAAUGGGACCUACAAAGGCACCUGGGGAUUAUGGCUUUCCGGCAAUAUUCUACCAAAAAUGCUGGCACAUUAUUGGCGAAGACAUGAUUUUCUUUUGUUUAACCCGUUUGAAUGGAGACAUGAAGGUUAAUUCUAUAAAUUCCACAAAUAUAGUGCUUAUUCCAAAAAGUGCUAGUCCUUCAAAUAUGACACUUUAGACCGAUUAGUCUACGUAAUUUGGUAUACAAAGUAUUGGCAAAGAACAUGGCGAACAGAUUACGAGUAAUUGAAAAAUGUUUUGAUUGCGCACAGAGUGCUUUUGUACUGGGAAGACUAUUAUCAGAUAAUGUGUUAUUAGCCUAUGAGAUACUACACGCGCUCAAGCAAAAGAGAUUUGGAAAAAAAAGGGUUUAUGACAGUUAAACUCGAUAUGAGCAAGGCAUACGAUAGAGUGGAGUGGGAUUUUUUUAAGGAAGUGAUGUUUAGAAUGGGAUUCAACAAAAAAUGGACUGAUGCAAUCAUAAAAUGUAUAUCUACGGUCUUUUAUUCUGUGGUUAUUAAUAGCCAUAUCAAAGAGAAAUUUAGACUUAUUAGAGGACUUCGACAAGGUGACCUGUUAAGCCCAUUUUUGUUUCUUAUUUGUGGAGAGGGUUUAUCAAGCCUAAUUAGACUAGCUUUGAAUGAGGGAUUUUUCAAAGGAGUCAAGAUUAGCAAGAGAGGUCCACAGGUAACUCAUCUCUUAUUUGCGAAUGAUACAUAUUAUUUGGGUAAGCAACAAGCAGGGGGGCUAAUUUAUUCAAAGAAAUUUUAUGCGAAUAUAGAUCUUGUUCAGGCCAAAGGGUAAAUUUUGAAAAAUCAACAGUAUUUUUUAGUAGAAACACAGAGGAAGAGGACAGAAGAAUGGACCUUAGCGUUAAUUAGGGCUGCCGAAUAUGGUUGGAAGGAAAAAGGAGUCUUUCCAGAAUCUGAAGGACAAAAUUAAAAAACGCAUAGACAAUUGGAGCAACAGAUCCUUAUCGCAGGGAGAAAAAGAAGUAUUUAUAAAGGACAUAUUACAAGUCAUACAUACUUAUUCGAUGGCCUGCUUUCUAUUACCAAAAACUUUAUGUGAUGAAUUCGAAAAUAUUAUAGCGAAUUUUUGGUGGCAGAAACAUAAAGGGAAAAGGGGAAUUCACUGGUGUGCUUGGAAAAAUCUGUGUUAAAAGAAAAUGGGGGUUUAGGGUUUCAAAAUCUGGGUCAAUUCAAUAUUGCAUUAUUAGCCAAACAGGGUUAGCGUCUCAUUAAUUUUCCAAAUUCAUUAUUGGCUAGAGUUAUAAAAGCAAAGUAUUACCCGCAGACAAGUUUCUUAAAUGCUAAGGUGGGAAAUUUACCUUCACUCACCUGGAGAAGCAUAUGGGCAGCUAAGGGUCUUCUUCAAAAUGGACUUUGUUGGAGAGUGGGUAGAGGGGAUAAGGUUUCUAUUUGGAAUGACAGUUGAAUCCCAGGAAUUGCGAAACCUGAACGGCAGAACAGUUCUAAUAAUGAAUUAGUUAUGGUGUCGGAUCUUAUUGACUCCUCAAACAGAAAAUGGAGAACAUAUACGAUCAUGAAUACCUUUCAAGCAGAUGUUGCUCAAAAAAUCCUACAGAUUCCGCUUGCAGAGACAGAACAUGAGGAUUUUCAGGUGUGGAAAGGAGAACAAUCCGGCGAAUACUCAGUACGUAGUGCCUAUAAACUAUUACAAGAAGCUACUAUGGAUCCUAGGAAUCAUUUAAUACAUGCCGAAAUUAAAAAAUUUUACAGAAAGCUUUGGAAUUUACAACUACCCGCAAAAAUCACGAUCAUUAUUUGGAGAAUUUCAUGGGAUUUUAUCCCCCAUCUCGCUAAUCUCAGGUACAGAAGACUCAUUUCAAAUGACAGAUGUCUCCGCUGCCACUCCGGAGUUGAAAACAGUUAGCAUAUAUUUCGUCAAUGCACUGUAACAACGGAUGUUUGGUCACAUCUACAGCUUUCCUGGGUCAUUAAUGAUAUGGCUCAAAACACUUGGGAAUGGCUAACCUGGGUGUUCGCAAAUGGAUCUAACAAACAGUGUCGUCUAUUUUGUUUCACUCUGUGGCUGCUAUGGUCCUUUAGGAAUCAACUAGUUAACGAUCGGAAACUCUUAACAGGAUUAGAUCUCGCAAAAAGAGUGAAGAAACAAAUUGAAGAAUAUGAAGGUGUGCAAGCAGUAAAAGCUCCACCAAACGUUAACAGGAACCAGUGGAAUCAAGAAGACAUAACAGUACAAGCUCCAUCAUACACUAAUAGGACAUAGAGGGAUCAAGAAGACAUACCGAGAUUAUAGAUCCAGUUCGAUGCAGCAUUCGACAAUACAAGUUUUCAGUCAGCGUCGGGUCUGGUGGCUCCGAGCUCGAGGGGAGAACUACUGGUAUCCAAAUCGACUCUUCACAACAAUGUGUCGACACCAUUUGCAGCAGAGGCAUUCGCAUGCCUUGAAGCUUUAAAUCUUGGCAUCUCGAUGGGCAUGCAGUGGGUCAACAUUAUGGGGGACUCCAAAACAACAAUAAAAAAGUUUCAAACAACAACAGCAAACAAAUCCGUCAUUGGAGCAAUCAUCAAAGAUAUCCAGAAUAGGAAAAGAUACUUUCAUGAGAUCCAUUUCCAGCAUAUUCAUAGAUCAGAGAACUCAACAGCCCACAGACUUGCAAAGACUACGCUAGAGAAAAGAGAAACUGUGUACCUGAGGGGAGAAGAUUGGAGAGACUAAGAGAAUGCCUCGGAGGGACGAUGGAGACAAUGGCCCGAUUGAAUAAACUCUGGUGAAGAAAGUAAGUUCAAAAUAGAUAGCAAUUGAUUUCUUAUCUUUCUUGGGAAGUGCUAUCGGCAGAAACGGAUGGGAUGUGAUAAAGGAACGUUGAAUAGUAAUGGGUGCCAGCCGUUCUUCGAUUUGACUGGGUUAGGUUUCUUGUUUUUCAAAUUGCAGAUUCAUUUACUGUCUUUACUUUUCAAGUUAGCUUUUCUUUUAUUAAAUAUUUAGGAGGCCUAUUAGUAUAGACUACAUUGAGGCCGGUUUUAUUUUGAGUUUUGCUGUAAGUUGGUCUGAGCCCAGUUUGUUAUUGGUUUUUUUACUUUUUUAUGAUUACUAAUAAAGUACCC